CACGUAGGGUGCGAGCGUUGUCCGGAAUUAUUGGGCGUAAAGAGCUCGUAGGCGGUGUGUCGCGUCGGCCGUGAAAACCUGCAGCUUAACUGUGGGCUUGCGGUCGAUACGGGCAUCACUGGAGUUCGGCAGGGGAGACUGGAAUUCCUGGUGUAGCGGUGAAAUGCGCAGAUAUCAGGAGGAACACCGGUGGCGAAGGCGGGUCUCUGGGCCGAUGACUGACGCUGGAGGAGCGAAGGUCAGGGGAGCAAACGGG
rnacentral:rRNA from 1 species